rnacentral:tRNA from 2 species
UCCCCCAUGGUGUAACGGCAGCACACGGGUCUUUGGAACCCUUAGUCGAGGUUCGAAUCCUUGUGGGGGAA